UUUCCCUAUACAGUCUGUCCCAUGGCCAGACAGACUAGACUUCCUUUUCCUGAUAGCUCCAUUAAGACUUCUAGACCUUUUCAACUGAUUCAUGUGGACACCUGAGGACCUUAUCAUACUCCAACCUCUUCUGGUUGUAAAUAUUUUCUUACAAUUGUUGAUGACUUUUCAAGGGCAACUUGGACACACCUAUUAGGAUCCAAAAGCAAUGCUUUUACUAUGCUUAAAUCAUUUCUUUCUCUAGUCAGAACCCAAUUUAAUGCUGUGGUUCAGAUUAGAAGUGACAAUGCUUUGGAAUUGUGGNNNNNNNNNACUUGGACACACCUAUUGGGAUCCAAAAGCAAUGCUUUUACUAUGCUUAAGUCAUUUCUUUCUCUGGUCAGAACCCAAUUUAAUGCUGUGGUUCAGACUAUUAGAAGUGACAAUGCUUUGGAAGUGGGGUCUAGCAAUGAGGGUAUUUCUUUCUUUAGCAGCCAGGGGAUCAUACAUCAAAUCUCCUGUCCUCACACCCCUCAACAGAAUGGUGUUGUUGAGAGAAAACAUAGAACUCUCCUUGAAACCUGUAGGGCAUUGCUUUUCCAAUCUGGCUUGCCAGUAUCUUUCUGGGGGGAUUGCUUGUUGACUGCUACCUAUCUCCAUAACAGAAUACCCACCAGAUUGCUUCAUAAUAAGUCUCCUCAUGAAAUUUUGUAUGGGAAAAUUCUAACCUAUACUCACUUGAGGACUUUUGGUUGCCUUGACUAUGCCACUGUUCCCAUCCCUCAAAGGGACAAGUUAAGGCCAAGAGCCAUUCCUUGUGUUUUCCUGAGAUAUCCUUUUGCACUCACUUGAGGACUUUUGGUUGCCUUGCCUAUGCUACUGUUCCCAUCCCUCAAAGGGACAAGUUAAAGCCUAGAGCCAUCCCUUGUGUUUUCCUGGGUUAUCCUUUCGGCAAAAAGGGUUAUAGAUAAUAUGAUCUUGCAUCUAAGAAGUAUUUGGUCUCCAGGGAUGUUCUCUUUCAUGAAUCAUAUUUUCCUUUUAAAUCUAUGCCUCCUUCUACUCCUCUUCCUGCUUCUCCUUAUCCCUUCUUUCCAUCUGGAGAAUAUGAUGAUUCCUCUUAUUCUCCCAUUCCCCUCUCUCCUCCCUCUUCUCCCUCAUCUGUGCAGAUGCCUUUUCCUGUCCCUGUCACUAUCCCCAGUGCUUCAGUCUUCCCUUCUCCUUUCAAUCCUGCUGGUUCACCUCCUGUUUUAGCUUCUUCUCCCCCUAUUCCUGCUCCCAGAAAGUCUCAAAGAAAUCACAAUCCUCCUUCAUAUCUUAAGGAUUAUGAUUUCUUUGAGACUUUCUGGGAGCAGGAAUAGGGGGAGAAGAAGCUAAAACAGGAGGUGAACCAGCAGGAUUGAAAGAUAUCUUAAGGAUUAUGUCUGUCAACUCCCUACCUUCUCUGGCUCGUCUUUCUCCUCUUUGGAAUCUGAGCCUCUAUAUUACUCUCAGGCUGCAUCUGUUCCAGCAUGGCAAGCUGCCAUGAGACAGGAGUUUGAAGCUUUGGACACUAACCAUACUUGGGAUGUUGUCCCUCUUGCUCCUGGUAAGAAACCCAUUGGUUGCAAAUGAGUUUACAAAAUAAAAUACAAGGCUGAUGGCAGUGUUGAAAUGUAUAAAGCCAGGUUGGUUAUUAGGGGUGACACACAGGUUGAGGGGAUUGAUUUUACAGACACUUUCUCUCCAGUGAUUAAAAUGACUUCUGUGAAGUGCCUUAUUGCUGUGGCUGUCAAGAAU
rnacentral:lncRNA from 1 species